rnacentral:misc_RNA from 1 species
AAGUCGUAACAAGGUUUCCGUAGGUGAACCUGCGGAAGGAUCAUUAAUGAAUUUGUCUUUUCAAGACCCUUUCUAUACCCUUUGUUUACCUUACCACGUUGCUUCCACUAGACAGGUCAAUUCUCUGACCCUUUGGCUUGUCUUUUUUAAGACUUGCUGGGGAGUGCUGGUGGAUGACUCAAACCAAAAACUUAAACCGAAAUUUACUUUGUCUGAAUCAUUUUAUAAAUUAUUAUAAAACUUUCAACAACGGAUCUCUAGGCUCUU